rnacentral:tRNA from 1 species
GCCUCGGUAGCUUAGCUAGUAGAGCACCACACUGGUAAUGUGGAGGUCGCGGGUGCAAAUCCCGCCCGAGGCU